AAGUCAAUGAAAAGAUCACCAGAAAUAAGACCAAACAAGAUAUACACACAUAGAGUAAGGAGAAGGGUAAUCAAUCCAGUAAUUCUAGAAGUUUCCAGGAGCAUUGAUUACAUUGAUAUGCUAUACUGCGCACAGGAUUGGAGAAUAUACAGUCCCUUCCUUAGGGAACUUUCACUCAGUGGGAGAGCAGCUGUAUGAACCAACUGAAAAGCAGCUGAAAGAAGAGUAUUAGCAUAAUCAAGUUAGAAAUCUUUGAAGUAUUGGGGGGAGCUGAGGUUAAGUUUGGCUUGUGGCUGCCUGAGAUAGUGUAGGAGGAAAUGAAUGAGCAAAAGGAGCUGUGAAGAUGUAAUAAAGGUUUAUGCGUGUCAUAAUGUGGGCUACACAGACAAGUAUAUAAGCUUGGAGGGGCGUUGGGUCCCACAAAUCUGAGAGAGACUAAGGCAUGAAAGGUGUCAUUCACCCAUGAACGUCUCUAAAUGCAUUAGUUCCAAUACCUGCAUUGACGGUGGCUUAUCUUUCUUUGAGACAAGCUGUUGCUUCAGAGCUCCCUUGCCAUGAAGAUUCGUUAUCUUGUCCUAGCUCUCCUCUUCUUUGGCUUGCUGUCAGUUGCAGGAACUGAAGAUGCUCAUGAAAUCAGUAGUGUCCCAGAGUGCAAAAAUCAAACAUUGUGUGUUUCUCAAAAUGAAACUGGACGCUGCUCAGACUUGAAGGAGGUUGAAGUAUGUGUCUUGCGUCUUAGGAAGAAACCAAAGGAAAUAACCAGUAUGAAGUAGAAACGUAGGAAGACAGGAUGAUCGACUCCUUUGUCUUAUUAAGGAAAUAAAAUCUUCAUUCUUUUCUCUCUC